UCUCGUGGGCCCAGUAUUUUCAAACACUCAGAUAUAAGGGGAAGACUUUGCCUAUUUAUUAAGCUUCUCCAAAGAAAGAACUUGGCUAUGCCCUCCACUAGUUAGUGUGGAAUAAACAGGGUUUCUCAGAUUAAAAGCAGGGGCAGUGUCUCCUCAGACCUUGGCCGCAGCGUCUAGCUAUGGUUCAGCUUGAGGACCUGGGAAUUUUCUAACACAGAAAAUCCUUGAUUGGGGAAGCCAGAAGUAAUGCUAGAAGACUGAAAGCCAAAACGAAUGAAAUAGUGUCUGGUAUUUGUAUACAGACCAUGGAGCUUUUUAUUGGAGGCCUGCUGGCAGAAAAGGAGAUACUUCUAGACUUAAAAUUUAUCAGACGGGCAGUAUUGGAAAUGUAGUUGCCCAUAUAUCAAGACCGCAAGAGACUGCAAUAAACUAACUACCAUAAAAGGAA